UCAAGCGACCAAGGGCAUAAGGUGAAUGCCUUGGCACUGAGAGCCGAAGAAGGACGUGACAAGCUGCGAAAAGUCUCGGGGAGGAGCAAAUAUCCAUAGAUCCGGGAAUGUCCGAAUGGGGAAACCCACUUGAGCAAACCUCAAGUAUCUAGUUGUGAAUACAUAGCAACAAGAGGGAAAAGUUGGUGAACUGAAACAUCUAAGUAGCCAGACGAAAAGAAAGAAAAAAUUCGAUUUUCAAAGUAGCGGCGAGCGAAAUGGAAAGAGCCCAAAUUAAGUUAAGGAAGAGGUAAGAUAGUUGAAUGGUCUGGAAAGAUUCAACCGAAGAAAGUGAAAGUCUUGUAAACGAAAUCAAGCCGAAUCUGACUUAGAAAGAGUAGCAUGGGACACGAGAAAUCCUGUGUGAAAAUGGGGGGACCACCCCCUAAGGCUAAAUACUACUCAGUGACCGAUAGAGAAUAGUACCGUGAGGGAAAGGUGAAAAGAACCCCGGGAGGGGAGUGAAAUAGAACCUGAAACCUUAUGCCUACAAGCAGAUAGAGUCUUAAGAGAGAUGAUAUCGUACUUUUUGUAGAACGGGCCAGCGAGUUAUGGUGUGCGGCAAGGUUAAGUAAUGAAGUUACGGAGCCGUAGGGAAACCGAGUCUGAAUAGGGCGGAUAAGUCGUAUGCCAUAGACCCGAAACCAGGUGAUCUAUCCAUGAGCAGGUUGAAGUGAAAGUAAAAUUUCAUGGAGGACCGAACCGGGUAGCGUUUAAAAGCUAUCGGAUGACUUGUGGAUAGGGGUGAAAAGCCAAUCGAACUUGGAGAUAGCUGGUUCUCCUCGAAAUAGCUUUAGGGCUAGCCUCAAUUUAGUUUACAGGGGGUAGAGCACUGAAUACCGUAGGGGUGUUAGACAUUACCGAAAGUUAUCAAACUGCGAAUACCUGAUAAAUGAUGAUUGGGAGUCAGACUAUGUGGGAUAAGCUUCAUAGUCAAAAGGGAAAGAGCCCAGACCACCAGCUAAGGUCCCUAAAUAUAGAUUAAGUGGAAAAGGAUGUUUUACUACUCAGACAACCAGGAUGUUGGCUUAGAAGCAGCCAUACAUUUAAAGAGUGCGUAAUAGCUCACUGGUCAAGUGGUAGAGCGCCGAAAAUGAACGGGGCUAAAAUCUAAUACCGAAGCUGUGGACUAAUUAAAUUAGUGGUAGAGGAGCAUUGUGUAAGGGGUGAAGCUAAGUUGGAAGACGAAGUGGACUUUACAGAAGAGAGAAUGCUGGCAUGAGUAGCGAAAAGGAGGGUGAGAAUCCCUCCCGUCGAAAGCCUAAGGAUUCCUGAGGAAGGCUCGUCCUCUCAGGGUAAGUCGGGACCUAAGCCCAGGCUGAAAAGCGUAAGCGAUGGACAACAGGUUGAGAUUCCUGUACUAUCUUUGAAUGUUUAAGAGAUGUACUGACGCAGGAGGAUAUGUUGAGCGUGUGAAUGGUAGAGCACGUCUAAGCAAGUAGAUAGAGAAUAGAGGCAAAUCCCUAUUCUUAAUAUCGAGAUGUGAUGGGGAGCGAAAAACAAGUAGUGAAGCAACAAAUUCCAAACUGCCAAGAAAAGGUACUAUUGAGUGAGAAGAUACCCGUACCAAAACCGACACAGGUAGGCAAGGAGAGAAUCCUAAGACGCGCGGAAGAACCUUUGUUAAGGAACUCGGCAAAAUGACCCCGUAACUUCGGGAGAAGGGGUACCAUUAGAUGUGAAAUACAUACGUAUGGAGCAUAGAGUGGUCGCAGAGAAUAGGCCCAAGCAACUGUUUACCAAAAACACAAGUCUCUGCUAAAUCGAAAGAUGAAGUAUAGGGGCUGACACCUGCCCGGUGCUGGAAGGUUAAGGGGAAAUGUUAGAGCAAUCGAAGCAUAGAACUUAAGCCCCAGUAAACGGCGGCCGUAACUAUAACGGUCCUAAGGUAGCGAAAUUCCUUGUCGGGU
rnacentral:rRNA from 1 species